rnacentral:rRNA from 1 species
UACGGAGGGUGCAAACGUUGCUCGGAAUCAUUGGGCGUAAAGCGCACGUAGGCGGUCCCUUAAGUCGGGUGUGAAAGCCCACGGCUCAACCGUGGAAGUGCAUUCGAAACUGAGGGGCUUGAGUACGGAAGAGGGUCUCGGAAUUCCCGGUGUAGAGGUGAAAUUCGUAGAUAUCGGGAGGAACACCAGUGGCGAAGGCGGAGACCUGGGCCGAUACUGACGCUGAGGUGCGAAAGCGUGGGGAGCAAACAGG